CCUCCCCUAGGAAACAUCAGGGCGCCGGUUUCUGAACAACUGCAGGGGCGACGCAGGGACUGGACUGGGAGCUUUCUCGCGCGUGCACGUGCCUUUGCUCCAGGAAAGAAGUAGCUCCUUCCCCUGGUCCUGCUGAUGUGUGUGUGUGACUCAGAGCAGAGCUGGUGUAUGGCCACACCCGAGGCCGGAGAACACGGAGCCCCUGGGGGCCGAGAAGGUGUCCUGCUGAUUGUCAAGUCACCAGGAACAAAAGCAAGGAGGGAAUGGGCCACACUGUUCUGUGACUCUGCUUCAGGCCCUUGAUUCUUAUGACUGGUGUGACCCAGGAGUGCACAAGGCAGUUAGCUGACGCCAGUUCCUGACCCCUUGGCUCAGUGAAUGAAAACCCCAGACAGGAAGGCUUCCACGAUCUUGGCUGCCGCCGUGGCCUUGUGUGGACAACCUCUGCACCUCCCGCUCCUUCUGAAAUCCUGCCAAGGGUCAUUCUUCUGGCGCUUUCCCUAUAGAUUCUUUCCCAAAGUCUUCAUUUGCAGCACAAUUAAUUAUUCAUUGCCAAGUUUGUGCGGUUUUUGUCCAUAAAAUAAAAGACACAUUUUUCAUUUUCACCACUAAGUUUAUUGAUUUGGAUAUUUUGAGUAUGCCAACUAUCCCCCAUGUGGUAUAACAUUGAUUGUUCUCAAUUAAUGUCUGGAUUUGAUCGCUAUCAACUUCAACUGGUUUACUGGACUGUGGAGCAUCAUCCAGUGAGAAAUCUCCAGCAUAAAACUUCAAAAACGACUUUUGACAUACUCCACCAGUUACAGCACCUUCUCCAUACACUGAAUAAAUCAUUCUUUGCAUUUCA